rnacentral:rRNA from 1 species
GAUGAACGCUGGCGGCGUGCUUAACACAUGCAAGUCGAACGAUGAAGCCCAGCUUGCUGGGUGGAUUAGUGGCGAACGGGUGAGUAACACGUGAGUAACCUGCCCUUAACUCUUGGGAUAAGCCUGGGAAACUGGGUCUAAUACCGGAUAGGAGCGCCUACCGCAUGGUGGGUGUUGGAAAGAUUUAUCGGUUUUGGAUGGACUCGCGGCCUAUCAGCUUGUUGGUGAGGUAAUGGCUCACCAAGGCGACGACGGGUAGCCGGCCUGAGAGGGUGACCGGCCACACUGGGACUGAGACACGGCCCAGACUCCUACGGGAGGCAGCAGUGGGAAUAUUGCACAAUGGGCGCAAGCCUGAUGCAGCGACGCCGCGUGAGGGAUGACGGCCUUUCGGGUUGUAAACCUCUUUCAGUAGGGAAGAAGCGAAAGUGACGUACCUGCAGAAGAAGCACCGCUAAUAC